AAUAUGGAUAGAUUUAUUUAAAGUAUCUGUUAGGUUAUGUGACAAAAGUGCUUUUGGAUACCCACAGAGGAGCUCAGAGAGAUAACGGCUGGAGAGGGAGCCCAGAUAAUGCGCUGACAGCUGCUCCCAGGGCCACCAUCGGGGUGUAGGGCGCGUUAUGGGAUGCAGGGGAAAAGCAGUUUGUGAUUGCACAGGACUUAUCACGGGAUGUUUAAGGAAGGUGGGGGUUUAGGUUAUUUGGGGAGGAACAGGUGUGGGAAAAGAAAGGGGUAAGUGGAUAAAAGGUCUGAUUGCAUGCAGAUAGUGGGCUGGUCACUACACUGGUCAGUCCGUUCCCAUGUGAGUGUGCCAAGUGUCUGUGCUCUGUGUGGCUGCCCACUUAUAGAUGAACAUAUGUGGUAUGUACGAGCCCUCUGUGGGCUUGUGCCUGCUGGGAACACACCUUCAGCCUCACCGCUGGCUGGACCUGGGGGCAUGGAGCAGCAGCAGCUUCAGCCCUCUCAGGGUGUUGGAUCUGGCACAAUAUUUCUUCCUUUAACAGUCUUAACCUUUAAAAUGAUUAUCAACUGCUAUUAAAAGUCAACGUUAUGAAAAAUGCAUCACAAAAUGAUGAAAAUGGAGACCCAUACCUCAUGUAGACCAUGUGUAUGUAGUCCUGUGAUGGAAUGAAGAUGGAAUUCCAAAAGUGAGAAUAUCCAAAAAAAGCAUUUUUAUAAUUCCACUACCAACCUGCAUAAUUUUACAAAAUGAAACAUAAUUGGAUAAAAUGCAUCUUUUUUACUUCUUCUAUAUUACUUAGGUCCAUUUGCUUUCCUGGUAGAAAUUUCAGAACAACUGGUAUUGCUUCAGGGUUCUGUUUAUUUAUGCAGAAUCCUGCAACAGGAAUAUACUACUAUUUAAACUCUGGUUUUAACCCUAGCGGCCUUUGUUUUGGUGCAGGAAGGAUUACAAUUGCUAAUCCAUGAACAUGAGAAAUUGCAUUUCAAUUUGAAAAGAGCCUAAGAAAUGCUCGCCCACAUUCUCCGAGGUACUUCCACACUUAGGACUGCAGCUGGGCUUUUGGUGAGACUUUGAAAACCAUCUACAUGGCACUUAGGCAUUUCAAAGCGAGAUACUCCUGAAGUGUUUUUAUGUACUUAUUCUGUCUAUAGAUACAUUUGAAAACGUGGAUCUGAGGCAUGUUUCAGAUUUUUACUCAUAUUGCCUAGUGAAAUGUUUUAUUUUUGUACCUCCAAGACAUGAUGGUGUAGAUGGGAGUGCAGGUGUUGUAAACAUAGUGUUUGACCCCAAAGGACCAAACGUCCCUUUCAUUCGAGUCCAUUUUCUUCUUUUUCUUCUCAUGGGUUUUGUUUGGCCUCCAAUUCAUGAUAUUUGCUCUUGGAGCUUCAUGGAAAAUGUAUUUUCCAGGGUCAAGGCUCCUGUUGUAACCUCCAGGCACUGCCGCUGUAGCUGUUCUUUGGCUUCUGAAGCAGCUGCAGUGUGCCGUACUACGGUAACAGUGCGCACCUCUCACCUCCGCUGCAUUUCCGCUCUCCCCUGGGGUUGCCUCAGGUUUCCCAGAGCAAUAUACAUCAAACAGUGCCUUUGCUCUUUCAAACAUUUGGGUGUUGGGUUUUUUUUUUUCUGGUUCAGAGAUAAAUCCGAUAUCAUCAGAACACAAACACUUUUACAUCAUUAAAACGCCUUGGGAAAUCUUGGAUUUGGCUCGUGAAAUGGCUUGAAGUGACCUGGUCCGCUUUGGGCAGUGUAAUUUCUGUCAGCAGCCACGUUAAUACAGUUUGAGGGGGUUAAAGGAAACAUUUAAUCUUUCUCUGUUGUUUAAUUGCAAACAUUUUGUUAUGUUUUCUGCUGCUUCUGGGCUUAUAAAUCAGCUUGUGUCCCCUGGUUGUGCCUGUGGAGAGUCCCAGCCCAUGUCCUCUUGUUGCAGCUGGGGUGUUUGUGGCCCUCGACCCAGCAGCUCUUCAGAGGUGUCUCUUGAAUGAGAUUUUCUGCCCUGAUGGUUUCAGUUUCCUCUUAUUUUUGACCAGUUUUUCUUGUCUUUAAGACUCCCUCCUUCUCUGAAGUCCGAGGCAGCACAACCACUCCAGCAGGCUGAGCCAAGGCAAGGGAUAAGGGAUGCUCUCCCCAAGUCCCCUCCGUGUUCCCCCAUUCCUGGAGGCGGGAUGCAGAUAACCUAAAGCAGCUAAGGAUGGUUCUAAGACUGACUGAUACAUCUUUUUGAACACUUCAGAACUUGGAAAGGCAAGACGUGUGGCCUUAGAGUACUGCAAAACUGGAGCCAGGACUGGUGGUGACAGUUUGAGUCCCUUUCCUUCAGCCUUCUUUCUCCCUGGGCUAUUUCAGUGCACGCCUGCUGCUCUGGGAGCUGCCUUACCUGGGAAGUGCAACACUAAACUUCCUCAAACACAUCAGCAAGUGAUCUGACAAAGAGAUAAGUCUCAGCUUGAUUCCAGAAGGCAGAUCGCAUCUCAAGGUCUUAAAGUGCUGCUGCGUCACCAGGGAUGCAGGGCAUCCUCUCGUGGAGGGGGCAUUCUGCCUUAGGAGUGAUGGAUUUGACCGAUCUGCAGCAAUGCUCAUGGGGGAGAACAAGCCACUCAGAAUUACGGCUCUGUCAGACUCGGCGGGCGCGUGGUUAACCACAGAAGUUAAUCCUCAGGUAGAACAGAAGAUGGACUUCUUGACCUGAAGGACCGGUCAUGCCCGGGGGAUGGAUUUUGCAGCCUUGUACACAACCUGAUUCGUGAGCAUUACCCCAUCGAACUCAUUGUCGGGUAAAAAGAGCAGGAAGAGAAAGAAGUGCAAGGAGGGACAGAGAUAUAAAAAGGAAGGGUAAAGAGGAUGUGAGUCAUUUUCUGAGAUUCCCAGAGGCGGGAGAUUAGCUCAUGGGACUGCUUGUGUUGAGUGCGUCUGGAGGAGGCAUCUUGUUGUUUCACAUGUCUAGGGUGAUAGAGUCGGAGCCUUCUUGAAGAAAGGUGUGAAAUGACUGACGGAGUCUCGUUCAUGAGAGGCCAAGGCACUGAGGAGAUGGGAAGGAGGCAGUAGGAGGGGAUUUGUGGAUGAAAGAGAGCUCUCGAGCUGCGGUGAAGCAUACAGGCUUAUAUUUGCUCUGAAGCGCCCACUCAGAAGCCUAACUUCAGAUAGCACAAAACAAAUAGAAGACAAAAACAUUUAAGAUGUAAAAUAGAGCAUUAGUCACAAUCUGAUGAUGUUUGGCACCACGCUGUUGAUGUGCUCCCUUAAGACUAUGCCAGUUUCUUCCAGACUUUCUUGUGAUGCAGAAGAAAACAUAACAUUAAACUACUGACUCACAAGAAAGUGAGUAUGUGCAUAUGUACACAUAGCAUUUUAUGUAAACAGUAAGUCAGCAAGGAAGGUGUUGGCUUUAUGAGUAUACAUAACCGUUCAAAGCAUAUUUUAGUUAUACAAAGCAUACUUUUAUAUAAAGCAUUUGCUUUCAGGAACAUAAAGGCAAAUAAAUCGCAUGGUCUUGAAUCCUUUAUUUUAGUUGAUCCUGUCAUAGCAAAAAGCAUUCACGUUCAUCCGUAAUGUGCCGAUACAGAAUGCACUUCAUAAACUCAGAUUUGCAGAAAACUUCUAGUUUUGAAAUUUAACUGUGACUAAAUCUGUUACUUAAUAUUAUUUUCAAGCUGUACGUUCUUACAGGCACAACCUAAAAUGGGAGGGGAGGGCAGAGGCUGCCCGGUGAAUGCAGCGAACACGCUGCAAAGCAGGAAUUUGGUAAUGUAAUAGGUGUCAGUAAUAUCAUUAACUCUUUGAUCUUCUUCCAUUCAGAGCAGGGGGUGAGAAUAGUUUGCAGUAGCAGCUGAAUAGAGAUGAAUCAAAAAUGCCAGGCUAAAACUAGCUGCUGCAUUAUUGAUUAUCUGGAAAUUCUGACUUUGGAUUUGUAUAACUGAAUUUUCCCACAGCUGUUUGCAAAGGUUUGCCAUGAUAAACUAUUUCUCAUUACUGAAUUUUGAGAAAUGCCUCCUAACAAGGAAUGUGGAUACCUUAAUUCCAAUUUAAAAGCUUCUCCUUUCAAAUUGAUCCUAUCCAUUUUGAAAAUGGAUUAAUUAAAUAAAAAAAACUGGGCAA